rnacentral:rRNA from 1 species
GCUUGUCUCAAAGAUUAAGCCAUGCAUGUCUAAGUACAAGCCUCAGUAAGGUGAAACCGCGAAUGGCUCAUUAAAUCACACCUAAUCUACUGGAAAGUUACUAGUUACUUGGAUAACUGUGGUAAUUCUAGAGCUAAUACAUGCGUCAAGUCCCAACUUGAUGGAAGGGCUGUGCUUAUUAGAUACAAAACCAAUUCAGGCUUGCCUGAUUGAUUGGUGAUUCAUGAUAACUGUAUGAAUUGAAUGGCUUUGGCUGUCAAUGCAUCAUUCAAGUUUCUGACCUAUCAGCUUCCGACGGUAGGGUAUUGGCUUACCGUGGCAAUGACGGGUAACGGAGAAUUAGGGUUUGAUUCCGGAGAGGGAGCCUGAGAAACGGCUACCACAUCUAAGGAAGGCAGCAGG